GACGAACGCUGGCGGCGUGCUUAACACAUGCAAGUCGAACGGAAAGGCCCUGCUUUUGUGGGGUGCUCGAGUGGCGAACGGGUGAGUAACACGUGAGUAACCUGCCCUUGACUUUGGGAUAACUUCAGGAAACUGGGGCUAAUACCGGCUAGGAGCUCCUGCUGCAUGGUGGGGGUUGGAAAGUUUCGGCGGUUGGGGAUGGACUCGCGGCUUAUCAGCUUGUUGGUGGGGUAGUGGCUUACCAAGGCUUUGACGGGUAGCCGGCCUGAGAGGGUGACCGGCCACAUGGGGACUGGGAUACGGCCCAGACUCCUACGGGAGGCAGCAGGGGGGAAUAUUGCACAAUGGGCGGAAGCCUGAUGCAGCAACGCCGCGUGCGGGAUGACGGCCUUCGGGUUGUAAACCGCUUUCGCCUGUGACGAAGCGUGAGUGACGGUAAUGGGUAAAGAAGCACCGGCUAACUACGUG
rnacentral:rRNA from 1 species